GACGAACGCUGGCGGCGUGCCUAAUACAUGCAAGUCGAACGCAGUGGGGACGGGUGAGUAACACGUGGUUAACCUCCCAUCAGAGGGUAUAACACUUGGAAACAGGUGCUAAACCGAUACUGAUGGAUGGUCCCGCAGUUCAUUAGCUAGUUGGUGAGGUAACGGCCCACAAAGGCCACCACGCAUAGCGGACCUGGAGGGUUAUUGGCACCACCUGGACGGGGGUCCGGCCCAAAUCCCUCCGGGGGGCGGCGGUAGGGAGUCUUCGGCAAUGGCGGAAAGCCUGACCGAGCAAUGCCGCGGGAGGUAAGAAGGUUUUCGGAUCGUAAAACUCUGUUGUUAGAAAAGCGUUAUCUAACCAGAAAGCGACGGCUAACUACGUGCCAGCAGCCGCGGUAAUUC
rnacentral:rRNA from 1 species